rfam:Drosophila mojavensis strain TSC#15081-1352.22 Ctg01_10972, whole genome shotgun sequence.
AUUUCAAUAUGAUGAUAUUUCCAUGCACCACUCUUUAUGCCGUAUUGCGCAAAGGAAGAUUAUGGAUAGCUGAAAAAUC